UGGGGAAUUUUCCGCAAUGGGCGAAAGCCUGACGGAGCAAUACCGCGUGAGGGAGGAAGGCUUUUGGGUUGUAAACCUCUUUUCUCAAGGAAGAAGUUCUGACGGUACUUGAGGAAUCAGCAUCGGCUAACUCCGUGCCAGCAGCCGCGGUAAUACGGAGGAUGCAAGCGUUAUCCGGAAUGAUUGGGCGUAAAGCGUCCGCAGGUGGUCGUGCAAGUCUGCUGAUAAAGAGUGGAGCUUAACUCCAUAAAGGCGGUGGAAACUGCGCAACUAGAGUACGUUCGGGGCAGAGGGAAUUCCUGGUGUAGCGGUGAAAUGCGGAGAUAUCAGGAAGAACACCGGUGGCGAAAGCGCUCUGCUAGGCCGUAACUGACACUGAGGGACGAAAGCUAGGGGAGCAAAUGGGAUUAGAUACCCGCGUAGUCC
rnacentral:rRNA from 1 species